GAUGAACGCUAGCUACAGGGCUUAACACAUGCAAGUCGAGGGGAAACGAUUAGAGAAAGCUUGCUUUUUCUAGGCGUCGACCGGCGCACGGGUGAGUAACGCGUAUCCAACCUGCCCAUCACUUGGGGAUAACCUUGCGAAAGUAAGACUAAUACCCAAUGACGUCUCUAGAAGACAUCUGAAGGAGAUUAAAGACUUAUCGGUGAUGGAUGGGGAUGCGUCUGAUUAGCUUGUUGGCGGGGUAACGGCCCACCAAGGCGACGAUCAGUAGGGGUUCUGAGAGGAAGGUCCCCCACAUUGGAACUGAGACACGGUCCAAACUCCUACGGGAGGCAGCAGUGAGGAAUAUUGGUCAAUGGGCGAGAGCCUGAACCAGCCAAGUAGCGUGCAGGAUGACGGCCCUAUGGGUUGUAAACUGCUUUUAUAAGGGAAUAAAGUGGGAGUCGUGACUCUUUUUGCAUGUACCUUAUGAAUAAGGACCGGCUAAUUCCGUG
rnacentral:rRNA from 1 species